GCCAUUAAUCUUUUUUUUUUUUUUUUUUUUUUUUUUUUGCUGUACACGGGCCUCUCACUGUUGUGGCCUCUCCCGUUGCGGAGCACAGGCUCCGGACGCGCAGGCUCAGCGGCCAUGGCUCACGGGCCCAGCCGCUCCACGGCCUGUGGGAUCUUCCCGGACCGGGGCACGAACCUGUGUCCCCUGCAUCGGCAGGCGGACUCUCAACCACUGUGCCACCAGGGAGGCCCCCACCAUAGCUCUAAUUUUAUUAAGCAGAACUAUUCUUACAACCUAAAGAACUAAUGUGGGUUCCCAACGGGCCUGAGGCCAUAAAACAUGGUGUAGGUGCAAUGAUUACACCUCUAUGGAUUACCUGGACAGACCCUCAUCCAAAGGAGUAAGGACCCAAUCCCUAUUUUCCUAGAACUGAUAGUCCAGUGGAAAAGGUUAAACAGGAGCACAAAGUCUGUGAACUAGGUUAGUAGGAGAGAGACAGUGUCAUACCCAGGAGGGUUUUACAAAUGAGGUGGAACUAUGUAACCAACAAUGGAAAUGAAUAUGCUUUUAUGGUGGCUGAAGACAGUAAAAUGACUUCAUUCUAUAGCAGUUGUAAAUAAGACAUUUGCUAUUUAUGAAGUUUAGAUUGGCAUUUAAAGUGUUGAGUGUAUGUGGAAUACCUAAGGAAUUUUCAUGUUUUCUUUUUAAAUUUUUAAAAAAUGUAGAACAGUCAACAAACUGGCUCUUGAAAGGGCCCUUUCUCUUAAAAAAAAAAAGUCACUUAAUCCAACCUCUGCCCAUUUUAUAGCUGAGGAAACUGAGACCCAGGUUAAUUGAAGGACUCACUGAAGUUUACCCAUUAGGACCAGUGACAUCGUUGGUCCAUUACUGGCCUCUCCUUUCACUCAUCACAGCCCCAAAAGGAGGAGAUGCAGUAGAUUUCAGACAGGAUGUCUCUAAGCUAUUUUGAACCCUGUGAUAUUAUGUAUUUAUGUGCUUGUCUGUCUCCCCCUACUAGAAUGUAAGCUCCAUGGGGGCAGGGACUUUCCUGUGUUUUGUUCUUAGUGUAUCCCCCAAGCCUGAAACGGUGCCUGGCUCAUAGGAGGUGCUCAGUACGUGUUUGUCGGAUGAAUAAAGGAGGUGGAGGAGACAGCUAAUGAAAUGAAAAACUUACGGAGUCUCAGACAAGAAAUCUUCCUGCUGUUGCUAAAGAAACUGUUAGCAAGUUUCUUUUCUACUGCAUCCUCUUAAAGGCAAGAUGCUCAUCUGCAAAGAGAGGGGCUGCAAGAUUUAUUUGGGUGGAUUUUAUGGAAAAUACAGUGCCAUAAUUGCCUGCUUUGCAGUAGCAGUUUACAUAGUGCAGCAUUCUGCAAAAAUUGCAUGGGACACAGGAUUGCCGUGGACACAGGAUAUACCAUAUGGCCUAAUUACCCAUCAUUCUCUGACACCAUUACUACCUAAUAGAAGUUCAGAUAAUUUAUCUUUAACAUCGCAAUGUCUGAUAUAAACAUUAAAAUGCAAGAGAUUCAGUCUUGAAAAGCUAUUUUGAAUCUGUUCAGCAUUUUAAAUUGACUAUAAUCUUUUGAAAUGCCUGUAAGUGCUGUACCUGACACUCUGAUAAUCUCUGUAAUAAUUUUUGCUUUCUAGAAGGAAAAAUUCUAUGAUUAUAAGAAGUGAAGGGUAGAAAGUGGUCAUGGCCUUUUAAAGCUAUUCAGAUUGGCCAAGCUUAGUGGUUGGAGGAUACUAAACACAGCAGGUCGGGUUCAGGCAUUUGCUCUGGAGCAAGUGUCCACUCAGGGACUCACCCUUCAGUGGGAUGGCCUUCAUUCUCAGCUGUAAUGCAUCACAGAGAGGUGGUCAUUAGAUAACUGAGUGACAUAUUGUAAAACAAAACAUUGGUUAUAUUUUAAUAGCAUGUUUGGAAGAAAAUUUUGUCUCUAGGUAGUCAAAACCAGAAGCAGUUAAUCUCUUAUGUAAUAACUUGGGAAAUUGUAACAUAUCGUGAAUUAACAUUCUUCCAGGUGAAGGCAGUAAGCCAGGAAGUCUUUUUGCAGAUAUAAGACGACAGGCAGAACAGAUUUUAUAUACAUCAUGGAGAUCCUGCACGUCUUUCUGCCCCUCUCCAUUCCUUAUUCCUUCAACCUCUUUCCCCAACCAGAGCCCUUCCGUAUUAUGGAAACCAUUUUAGAGGACAAGAAAAAGUUCUGGGAAAAAACAACAUUAGGCAUCUAAAAUAAAUCUUCAGUUUAACUCACACUUUUAAGUGAUUGACAAAAUAUUAUCAUUUUUUAACAGAGGUGGUGGUUCUUUUUAGCAUAUCUGAUCUGAUGUGGCACUGGAGCAUUUUCAGAUGCCGGUCACCCUCUGGAGAGGGGCUAAAGAGGGCCCUUCAUGUCUUCUCAUCCCUCUCAAUUCUCCCAUGUAUGAAAAGUGAGCAAACGCUAAAGGAUUUUCGGUGUGCUUAGGAAUACAAUUUUAUUUCCUUAGAAGAUCCUCUGAAGUCAAUUACUACUGGCAACUUGGAGGUUUAAAAUGGGUUUUACCAGGCAUAGGCCUUGAGAAAUUCUUGAAUCUAGAAAUUCACUGGAAAAGGAAUUCAUCGCCCUCUAUCCAAAAGUUGCAGGUGAAGAAUCGAUGGAUUCGCAUUAUGUUUAGGGGGAGGCAGAUGCCACAAUAUGAUUCCUAGUGGCAUUUAAUUCACAUGUGAUAUAUUAUUGGCUUUGACUGCAGAGUGGAAGGAUUCAUUAAAGGAAACAAAAAUUAUUUGGCUUAAUAUAUUAUAGGUUAUUUUCUUUUUUCCUUUAUACCAGUAUUAAAUUUUAACUUAAAAAGUAAUCAGAGUAAGAUAAAUGGAAAUUUGUCACACUAAUCAUUUUAAACUUUUAAGUUUUAAAAUCAGAGACUGGGAUUGCAAUCCAAGCAAAAGGCAGACUUAAUUACUCUUUCCUAUUCCCUAGCAGCUCUAGUUGUUUGCUUUAUUCUAGAUAAAUGCACUUAAGUGAAUGUUGUACUAGCUCUGCUCAGCACUAGGAAAUGUAACAUCAUGCUCUCCUAAUGUAUAUUCCACUUGGAUUCUUCCCAUAAAAUUGUCUGAGUCAAAGGUACUGAUAUUCUCCUCAGCCAUUCUAAAAAUUCAUACCAAAGUAUUGCAGUUGGAGCACAUGUCUCUGAUGCAAAAACCAGAUACUUGCUGGUGAACAUCCAUCCAUUCAGAAUAUUCAGAUAUUCUGGACAGAGCUCAGGCCCUAGCCUCACCCUUAUGGCAGGCUUUGGCAAACUAAGGCUGGGCCUCCUGUUUUUGUAGAUAAAGUUUUAUUUGAAUGUAGCCAUGUCCAUUUGUUUACAUGCCUCAUGACCGAAUGAGCUGCAAAUCUGAGAAUACUUGCCGUCCUUAAGAAACGUUUACUGAUCCUCCCUCUAGAGAGAGCAAAGAAUGUCCAAUUACGGUGCCUCAACCAAACAGGUUUGGGUGAGUUCUAAUCUCUUCCAUAAGCAAGGUUUUCAACUCUCCCUGUCCCAGAGCCCAGCAUUCUACAAUAGAUUUAUUCUAACAAGGCCAAGUCCUUUCAAGAAUGAAAAAUCACAUGUUUAUUUGUUCUGAAAGAGUUUUUGUCAACUAAAGCAAUCUUCUCCCAGCUGAGCACUCAUAUGGAAGCGUGGUUGAUAAUGUUUGUAACUAAAGUGUUAAAUGAGGACAGAUAGACCUAACGAUUUGUAUUCAGAAUGACAAUUGUGAACUCAAGAAACUCAGUCUCCCUGGAUUUUCCUUCUGGGAAGCCUUGGAAAUGAUACGUGUAUCCAUUCUCUGCCUCACAGUCAAUGCUUUUGAUGCCAAGUCCCUUAACUGCUUUUUUUAAUGUAAAUAUUCAUUAAUUAAACAAUUAAAAGUGUGCAA